CUUUUCUAUGAAAAGUUUAAGGAAAAGCAUAAAAUCACUCUGUUCUUAAAUGUGCCAUUUAUCUUAAAUGCAUGAAAUUUUUAAUAAAAUAAAACUUCAGUAGAUAAAUAAGUUACCCCUAGAUUAGAAAGGUAGAUGACUGUAAGACAUUUACUCAAUUCUGUUGAAUAGUUGGAGCUUAAGAAAAUAAAGCAACUACUUCACUUCAAUGGCAGAUUAAGGGUGGAAAAGGAAAUGCAUUGCCUUAACUGAGCAUUGCAAUUAGCAACAAGCACAAUGGAAUUUUUCUUUGCAAAUUUGUGAUAUUGUGUGAAGAUUUCAGAUCUCACUUGACUUGAAAAAUUUUUUCUGGAAAAAAAAAGUCUUGUCCCUUUGAUUUAACCAAACCAACUCAAUUUAAAUAAGUACAAUUUUCUCUUCCCUUUGUUUUGUUGAAUCAGAACUUUGCAUCAAAUAUAACAAAACCAAAUCAUAUGUAUAAUUUUUUUUAAGAAUUUUUCUUUGCCAAUGCUGCAUAAUUUGGCACCCCCAAAAAGUAUAUUCUUACUGAUGAUGCGUCAACUCGAACAAUUGGCAAGUGUCUAUCUAGCAUCAAUGUUGAGAAAGUUGAAACUAAUUGGCGGACUGUCAGGGAGCUCCUCUUCUCUUCUCUCCUGGAGCUCUUCAGUAUCUCAAUGGAACUGACUAAGCUAGCUGUUGAUAAGGUCAUGACUGCACCAUGCGAGAUAUUGGUUUUAUAUCCAAAGCAUGGUGGAAAUCUGCACUGUCUCACAGCAAUAACACCUUGUGCUGUGCUAGACAUUCUUUCACUUCCUGAUAGAGAAGAUGAAGGAAGGAAGUGUACUUACUAUCGUGAUUAUCCAUAUUCAACAUUCUGGGCAUCAAGAAAUAGAUAACUGCUAUGGUCGAGGAUCUACUUUCUUUCUGGAUUCAACCAUUAAAAUCUACAUUAGGCAGCUUCUGUAGCAGUUGCAACUUGGUGAGCAUGUUAUGAUCAUUUUCCUUUGUGUGAAGCCCAAGCAAACACUUUUUGGAGAGUCCCUCUACAUCACAAUUAGUGUAUUAACCUGAACAAAUGAAUGAUUGGAUGGUUAAAUUCUUUUCUGGUUUACCUGGAGUUCUUCACUUAUAGUCCUUCAACUUUGAGGUGUGAUUGCAAUCUGAGUUCUCUAGCCAAAAAGUUCGUAACCAACGACCGUCUAUUGUAUCAUUGAUCUCACCAUUUAGUUUAUGCGUUUAUAUUCUUGUACAAGAGUUCUGCAUGUAUGCUAGUAGUGCUUGUAAGUUUUGAGACUUGUUUGUAGUUUUGAUUUGGAAAAUAGUGAAAACUUUUACCUUGCCGUAGGUUUUUUUUAUCUCUC